rnacentral:rRNA from 1 species
GAAGUUCGAUUCUGGCUCAGAUUGAACGCUGGCGGGAUGCUUUACAUGCAAGUCGAACGGCAGCACGGACUUCGGUCUGGUGGCGAGUGGCGAACAGGUGAGUAAUGUAUCGGAACGUGCCUAGUAGCGGGGAUAACUACGCGAAAGCGUAGCUAAUACCGCAUACGCCCUUCGAGGAAAGCGGGGACCUUCGGGCCUCGCACUAUUAGAGCGGCCGAUAUCGGAUUAGCUAGUUGGUGGGGUAACGGCUCACCAAGGCGACUUGAUCAUGCUGGUUUUCAGAGAGGACGACCAUGCACACUGGGACUGAGCUGCAGCCCGAACUCCUACGGGAGCAGCAGUGGGAAUUUUUGAGACAAUGGAAACCUGAUCAGCCAUCCCGCGUGUGCGAUGAAGGCCUUCGGGUUGUAAAGCACUUUUUUGGCGGGAAAGAAACGGCACGGGAUAAUACCCCGUGCAACUGACGAAACCUGCAGAAUAAGCACCGGCUAACUACGUGCCAGCAGCCGCGAUGGCCCGUAGGGUGCGGCGUUAAUCGGAAUUACUUUGGGCGUAAAGCGUGCGCGCAGGCGGUUCCGGAAAGAAGAUGUAAGAAAUCCCAGAGCUUAACUUUGGAACUGCAUUUUAACUACCGAGCUAGAGAGUGUGUCAGAAAGUGGAAUUCCGCGUGUAGCAGUGAAAUGCGUAGAUAUGCGGAGGAACACCGAUGGCGGCAGCCUCCUGGGAUAACACUGACGCUCAUGCACGAAAGCGUGGGGAGCAAACAGGAUUAGAUACCCUGGUAGUCCACGCCCUAAACGAUGUCAAUAAGCUGUUGGGGCCUUCGGGCCUUGGUAGCGCAGCUAACGCGUGAAGUUGACCGCCUAGAGAAUUACGGUCAUAAGAUUAAAACUCGAGAAUUGACGAGGGACCCGCACAAGCGGUGGAUGAUGUGGAUUAAUUCGAUGCAACGCGAAAAACCUUACCUACCCUUGACAUGUCUGGAAUCCCGAAGAGAUUUGGGAGGUGCUCGCAAGAGAACCGGAACACAGGUGCUGCAUGGCUGUCGUCAGCUCGUGUCGUGAGAUGUUGGGUUAAGUCCCGCAACGACGCAGCCCUUGUCGUUAGUUGCUACGAAGGGCACUCUAAUGAGACUGCCAGUGACAAACCGGAGGAAGGUGGGGAUGACGUCAAGUCCUCCUGCGGCUGCCCUUAUGGUGAAGACUGCAUCAUCAUAAUGGUCAGGGACAGAGGGUCGCCAACCCGCGAGGAGGAGCCAAUCCCGAAACCCGAUCGUAGAUCCGGAUCGCGGUCACGCUCGACUGCGUGAAGUCGGAAUCGCUGGUAAUCGCGGUCGCUGUCGCGGUGGGCCGUUCUCCGGGUCUUGUACACACCGCCCGUCGCACCAGCCAGGAGUGGGUUUUACCGGAUUGAUUAGCCUAACCGUAAGGAGGCGAUUACCACGGUAAGUUCAUGACUGGGGUGAAGUCGUAACAAGGUAG